UACGGAGGGAGCUAGCGUUGUUCGGAAUUACUGGGCGUAAAGCGCGCGUAGGCGGUUACUCAAGUCAGAGGUGAAAGCCCGGGGCUCAACCCCGGAACUGCCUUUGAAACUAGGUAACUAGAAUCUUGGAGAGGUCAGUGGAAUUCCGAGUGUAGAGGUGAAAUUCGUAGAUAUUCGGAAGAACACCAGUGGCGAAGGCGACUGACUGGACAAGUAUUGACGCUGAGGUGCGAAAGCGUGGGGAGCAACAGG
rnacentral:rRNA from 1 species